rnacentral:rRNA from 1 species
AUUGAACGCUGGCGGCAGGCUUAACACAUGCAAGUCGAGCGGAUGAAGGUAGCUUGCUACUGGAUUCAGCGGCGGACGGGUGAGUAAUGCUUAGGAAUCUGCCUAUUAGUGGGGGACAACGUUCCGAAAGGAGCGCUAAUACCGCAUACGUCCUACGGGAGAAAGCAGGGGACCUUCGGGCCUUGCGCUAAUAGAUGAGCCUAAGUCGGAUUAGCUAGUUGGUGGGGUAAAGGCCUACCAAGGCGACGAUCUGUAGCGGGUCUGAGAGGAUGAUCCGCCACACUGGGACUGAGACACGGCCCAGACUCCUACGGGAGGCAGCAGUGGGGAAUAUUGGACAAUGGGCGGAAGCCUGAUCCAGCCAUGCCGCGUGUGUGAAGAAGGCCUUUUGGUUGUAAAGCACUUUAAGCGAGGAGGAGGCUCUCCUAGUUAAUACCUAGGAAGAGUGGACGUUACUCGCAGAAUAAGCACCGGCUAACUCUGUGCCAGCCGCCGCAGUAAUAC